CGGACGAGAAGCUUGCUUCUCUGAUGUUAGCGGCGGACGGGUGAGUAACACGUGGAUAACCUACCUAUAAGACUGGGAUAACUUCGGGAAACCGGAGCUAAUACCGGAUAAUAUUUUGAACCGCAUGGUUCAAAAGUGAAAGACGGUCUUGCUGUCACUUAUAGAUGGAUCCGCGCUGCAUUAGCUAGUUGGUAAGGUAACGGCUUACCAAGGCAACGAUGCAUAGCCGACCUGAGAGGGUGAUCGGCCACACUGGAACUGAGACACGGUCCAGACUCCUACGGGAGGCAGCAGUAGGGAAUCUUCCGCAAUGGGCGAAAGCCUGACGGAGCAACGCCGCGUGAGUGAUGAAGGUCUUCGGAUCGUAAAACUCUGUUAUUAGGGAAGAACAUAUGUGUAAGUAACUGUGCACAUCUUAACGGUACCUAAUCAGAAAGCCACGGCUAACUACGUGCCAGCAGCCGCGGUAAUACGUAGGUGGCAAGCGUUAUCCGGAAUUAUUGGGCGUAAAGCGCGCGUAGGCGGUUUUUUAAGUCUGAUGUGAAAGCCCACGGCUCAACCGUGGAGGGUCAUUGGAAACUGGAAAACUUGAGUGCAGAAGAGGAAAGUGGAAUUCCAUGUGUAGCGGUGAAAUGCGCAGAGAUAUGGAGGAACACCAGUGGCGAAGGCGACUUUCUGGUCUGUAACUGACGCUGAUGUGCGAAAGCGU
rnacentral:rRNA from 1 species